rnacentral:rRNA from 1 species
UACGGGAGGGGCAAGCGUUAUCCGGCAUUAUUGGGCGUUAAGGGUUCGUAGACUGUAAAGUAAGUUAACUGUUAAAAUUUAAAGCCUAACUUUAAAACAGCUUUUAAUACUGCUUUACUUGAGUUUUAUACAGAAGAGUAGAAUUUUAUAAGUAAGGGUAAAAUCUAAAUAUAUGUAAAGGAAUACCAAUAGCGAAGGCAACUCUUUAGUAAAAACUGACGUUGAGGAACGAAAGUGCGGGUAGCAAACAGG